UACGUAGGGUGCAAGCGUUAAUCGGAAUUACUGGGCAUAAAGCGUGCGCAGGCGGCUUUGCAAGACAGAUGUGAAAUCCCCGGGCUUAACCUGGGAACUGCAUUUGUGACUGCAUGGCUAGAGUGCGGCAGAGGGGGAUGGAAUUCCGCGUGUAGCAGUGAAAUGCGUAGAUAUGCGGAGGAACACCGAUGGCGAAGGCAAUCCCCUGGGCCUGCACUGACGCUCAUGCACGAAAGCGUGGGGAGCAAACAGG
rnacentral:rRNA from 1 species